AGGAAGACGGGGGCUUCCUGGUGGACAUCUUGUAUAGUGCUCUCCGAUGCUGUGACAGUGACGUGGAGAGGAAGGAAGUCUUGGAUGAUCUAACUCAGGAGGACCUGAAGUGGAGCUCUCUUCUUCGGGUCAUUGAAAAGGCUUUGAAAUGAACCAAGUUGCAAAUCCUUUCUUCUCAACCUUUAAAGCAAAAGAAGCCCUGGGAACAUGGAUCAGCAUGGUUUUGGGGGUGGAUUUACAAGUUUUUCUCUCUCACUUCCCCACUCAACAAAAAUAAAAAAGUUACAUU
rnacentral:lncRNA from 1 species